CAGAAAGGAACUCAUUUUUAGAAAAAGAGCUAAGAAAAAAAAGGGGGAAACAACGAAGACAUAUCGAAUACAAAUUUUGUUACAUGAAACUUUGUCUAAGCAGUCUCAUUUUCUGAGCUAUCACUAUCAGCUGUUUCUGCUUCUUCUGAUCCUUCAUUUUUAUCGUCUUCAUGGACUUCUGAAAACUGAAGGUUUGCCCAGAUUCAGACAAGCUUCUCUACUCUUUCACAUGUUAGUUUAUUUCUUGAUUUGGUGUGAGUAUUUUCAGACAUAGACCAAUUUCUUUCACAUAUUGUACAAGAUGGAGGAACUUGAAGCAAACGAGAAGCAAGGAGAGUCAGAGGCUGUGUCAUGUAAAGGUCAUGUUGCAGGAGGGAUUUUGCUUGGCAGAGUCCCAGACUGCAUUCCUGGACCAAAUACCUGAAGAUGUUCUGUAUUCUGCAACAUUUGAAAGCACCUUUCCAACAUCAGGUCCUAAGUGUGUUGCUUGUUUUGUAAUCCAGUCAAAUGCAGUAGCAGUGCUAUCAUCACUAACAUUUCUGCCUUUGAAUCUUGGAUCCAAGAGAUUUGCCACAGCAUGAAUUGACUGGCAACAAAAUUCUUCCCGUCUAUUAAUAAAGUCUUUCACUUUUCUUUUUGCUGUACUUGUAAGCAGAGAUACACUCAGAUUCUCAAAAACAGUUGAUUUUAUCUGGGGUAUUUGGUAAGGCAUGUCUAACAGAAGUGCACUGUCUGAUUCAGAUGCAGUGACUGCUGAAGAAACUGGCUUUAGACUCUUCAGGGAUUUCUGCAGCUGAACCCAGAAGACAUCCUCAUGAAGUACAUUGUUCCUUAUACUUCUGGGUACUUUAAGAUCCUCAAUUAUUGCUGUGUCUUGAAGAUCUUCUUUGUUUUUUAGUAAACUUCCAAAUGAGAUCACCACUCCACCCCAUCUAGUAUAACUACAGAGUUUGAGUGUCGCUAUUUGAUUCUUUGCAUUCUUCCCUUCUUGCUUCUUCUUAAAGACUGCAGCUACAAUAUGAGUAGUUCUUCCAUGUUUUAUAACUUCUUUGGCUCUUCUGUAGAUCUUUUGCAGAGUGUCCAACUUCAUGAUGUCAUUAAGAAGCAAGUUUAGCCCAUGGGAUGCACAUCCUAUUGCAGUAAUAUAUGGAUAUUUAUCCAUUAUGAUCUCCCAUGCUGCUUUCAUGUUACUUGCAUUGUCAGUCAGCAAAGCAAAUACUUUACCACUCCCAGUCUUCUGUAGAACUUCACAUAUUUUAUUACUGAUAUACUCUGCAGUAUGUCUGUUCUCUCCUGUUUCAAUGGUUC